rnacentral:rRNA from 1 species
UACGUAGGGCGCGAGCGUUGUCCGGAAUUAUUGGGCGUAAAGAGCUCGUAGGCGGCCGGUUGCGUCUGCUGUGAAAUCCCGGGGCUUAACCCCGGGCGUGCAGUGGAUACGGGCCGGUUGGAGGCAGGCAGGGGAGAAUGGAAUUCCCGGUGUAGCGGUGAAAUGCGUAGAUAUCGUAAGGAAGACCAGUGGCGAAGGCGGGUCUCUGGACAGUUCCUGACGCUGAGGCACGAAGGUCAGGGGAGCAAACGGG